rnacentral:rRNA from 1 species
UAGUCCACGCCGUAAACGAUGUCGACUAGCCGUUGGCAGGCUUGACCUGUUAGUGGUGCAGCUAACGCAAUAAGUCGACCGCCUGGGGAGUACGGCCGCAAGGUUAAAACUCAAAUGAAUUGACGGGGGCCCGCACAAGCGGUGGAGCAUGUGGUUUAAUUCGAUGCAACGCGAAGAACCUUACCAGGUCUUGACAUCCUCGGAACUUUCCAGAGAUGGAUUGGUGCCUUCGGGAACCGAGUGACAGGUGCUGCAUGGCUGUCGUCAGCUCGUGUCGUGAGAUGUUGGGUUAAGUCCCGUAACGAGCGCAACCCUUGUCCUUAGUUGCCAGCACAUUAUGGUGGGAACUCUAAGGAGACUGCCGGGUGACAAACCGGGAGGAAGGUGGGGACGACGUCAAGUCAUCAUGGGCCCUUACGACCUGGGGUUACACACGUGCUACAAUGGCCGGUACAGAGGGGCUGCCAAGCGGCGACGCGGGAGCUAACCCCUUAAAACCGGGUCGUAGUCCGGGAUUGGGA